AGAUCUACCUUCAAAUCUCAUUGAACACGAUGUGCUAGUAUAGCCAACAAAACCAUAGGAAUGUUCAACCUCCAGAUGACUGGCUGGUUGGCUGAAUUCAGAGGACUGAAGAACUGAAAUGGCAAUGGCAAGACAGUCUAGAAAUGCUCCUUGUACCAUCUUUUGCCACUCAGGACAUCCAGCCAGGCAUGCUACUGUAUCUGUGCUCCCAUCUACUGAUUUUUCCAUCAAAGCACUGAGGGGCUAGAACUAAGUGCUGGUCUUGGCAAACCAAGAUGUUUCUUCCAAAGUCUGAGGCAGUCAUGGGACAUUUUGGAAAUGUUAUGUUCAAUACUAUGUCUAGUUAUUUUUCCUAUCAUUUACUGUUCUAAGCCCAAGAAAGAACCCCUCUUUAAUUGUACAGUGUUUGGACUCUUUCAAGAUGUCCUGUUAAUCAGCCUAGUAAAAAUCAAGAACCAAGGUACAACUUCCCAAUGUCCCUAAGCUUCUUUGGUUUCUGGCAGAAGUCAGGAUAUGCUGCACCUUUCAGAGGACAAUUCAUCUGGCUAAAGUUGUAACAUGAGAAUGACAUCAUGCCAAGAAUCCUCUCCAGAAUCAACAGAUGUCUGGACAGAGGGGACCCCAGGAUGUUCACACGUGUCUGCUGUCUGCUCGGCAAGCUCUUGCAAUGGGACAGCCACAUUCCAGGGUCCUCCGGAAUGCACUGGGGUGAAAGAAAAACUCCUAAACUAUGUAUGAUGAUCAAAUGAAAGCAGAACAUUGGCCAUUGUUUCAUUACAUGUUCCCAACUGGUCUUUUUUCCCUAGUUAAAAAAAAGGUAACUUGGGACAGGUAAUCUUCAGCAGAAAAACCUGUCAAUACAAUACUUCUUUCUGCAACUGACAGUCUGUAGUUGCCAUUUAUAGAACUAAUAAAGAAAAACAGUGACCAGCUACGAA